rnacentral:tRNA from 1 species
GCCGAGGUAGCUCAGUUGGUUAGAGCAUUGGAUUGUGGAUCCAAGGGUCAUAGGUUCGAGUCCCAUCCUCGGUACUA